rnacentral:rRNA from 1 species
UACGAAGGGGGCUAGCGUUGCUCGGAAUCACUGGGCGUAAAGCGCACGUAGGCGGAUUGCUAAGUCAGGGGUGAAAUCCUGGAGCUCAACUCCAGAACUGCCUUUGAUACUGGCGAUCUCGAGUUCGGGAGAGGUGAGUGGAACUGCGAGUGUAGAGGUGAAAUUCGUAGAUAUUCGCAAGAACACCAGUGGCGAAGGCGGCUCACUGGCCCGAUACUGACGCUGAGGUGCGAAAGCGUGGGAGCAAACAGG